rnacentral:rRNA from 1 species
AUGAACGCUGGCGGCGUGCCUAAUACAUGCCAGUCGAGCGAACGGACGAGAAGCUUGCUUCUCUGAUGUUAGCGGCGGACGGGUGAGUAACACGUGGAUAACCUACCUAUAAGACUGGGAUAACUUCGGGAAACCGGAGCUAAUACCGGAUGAUAUUUUGAACCGCAUGGUUCAAAAGUGAAAGACGGUCUUGCUGUCACUUAUAGAUGGAUCCGCGCUGCAUUAGCUAGUUGGUAAGGUAACGGCUUACCAAGGCAACGAUGCAUAGCCGACCUGAGAGGGUGAUCGGCCACACUGGAACUGAGACACGGUCCAGACUCCUACGGGAGGCAGCAGUAGGGAAUCUUCCGCAAUGGGCGAAAGCCUGACGGAGCAACGCCGCGUGAGUGAUGAAGGUCUUCGGAUCGUAAAACUCUGUUAUUAGGGAAGAACAUAUGUGUAAGUAACUGUGCACAUCUUGACGGUACCGAAUCAGAAAGCCACGGCUAACUACGU